rnacentral:rRNA from 1 species
GUAAGGAAUAUUGCACAAUGGGCGAAAGCCUGAUGCAGCGACGCCGCGUGGGUGAUGAAGGUCUUCGGAUCGUAAAGCCCUUUUCUGCGUGACGAGAAAAAGGACGGUAGCGCAGGAAUAAGUCUCGGCUAACUACGUGCCAGCAGCCGCGGUAAAACGUAGGAGACAAACGUUAUCCGGAGUUACUGGGCGUAAAGGGCGUGUAGGCGGUUUAUUAAGUUCGUCGUGAAAUAGCUCGGCUUAACCGGGCGGGGUCGAUGGAUACUGGUAGACUUGAGGACGGUAGAGGCGUGUGGAAUUCCGGGUGUAGUGGUGAAAUGCGUAGAUAUCCGGAGGAACACCAGUGGCGAAGGCGACACGCUGGGCCGUACCUGACGCUAAAGCGCGACAGCAUGGGGAGCGAACGGGAUUAGAAACCCGAGUAGUCC